UACGGGGGGGGCAAGCGUUGUUCGGAAUUACUGGGCGUAAAGGGCUCGUAGGCGGCCAACUAAGUCAGACGUGAAAUCCCUCGGCUUAACCGGGGAACUGCGUCUGAUACUGGAUGGCUAGAGGUUGGGAGAGGGAUGCGGAAUUCCGGGUGUAGCGGUGAAAUGCGUAGAUAUCCGGAGGAACACCGGUGGCGAAGGCGGCUUCCUGGACCGACACUGACGCUGAGGCGCGAAAGCUAGGGGAGCAAACGGG
rnacentral:rRNA from 1 species